GACUUGAAGCAAGUCUUUCUGACCCAUCUACAGAAAAAGAGAGAUUAAUUCUCUCCCUGGUCCCCCUCUUCCUUCCCUUUCCUCUCUCCUUUCUCUGCCCCUCCAUAUACCCUUGUAUAACCACAGGUAAGUAUAUAAAAUGUUUUGUGGGUACCAUCAUUGAUGGUAACUGCCAGAUAUUUCCAGCAUUCGCCUCCAUCGCCUUUGGUAGGUCUGAGGAUGGAACUCGGGUCUUUAGGCUUUGUGACAAGUAACUUUACCUGCAAAGUCAUCUAGACAACAAACAGAUGCUGAAUCCAGGAAUACUGGACCACAAAUUUCCAGCGUGCUUUCAGAGAACAGUAUAUUCUGACAUCAAAAGAAACCGCAUCGGAGAGAUGGCUAGGCUCUGCUCGAGUCCAGUUCUUCAGAGAGCGUCUCCUGACAAAUCCCACUCUUGGAAGGUGCUUUGUACUUGUGGAUUUUUGUAAAGAAAAAAAAAAAAGAAAGAAGGAAAGACUGGACACACUUGAAGCUGAGAUUUCAUAAAACAACAGUAUUCUAAGAGACUACACUCUUCAUUCUUCCCUAGAAAUCUAGACGAUGCUUCUGCUAGCAAACGUCAUAUAUAAAGUCAAAACGUCAAAUAAAGUGUUGGGACCUAGGACC
rnacentral:lncRNA from 1 species